rnacentral:misc_RNA from 1 species
CUGGGUGGCUUCGGCCUAAACCCCCAACCAUUGUGAACGUUCCAGCGGCUCAGCUGGCGGCGGUGAACAACCGCUCCUGGCACCGCGAAACUCUUCUAAUGAAUCUCUGAGUUACUUUUAAAUAAGUCA